rnacentral:rRNA from 1 species
UACGUAGGGUGCGAGCGUUAAUCGGGAAUUACUGGGCGUAAAGUGUGCGCAGGUGGCCGCGCAAGUCGAGUGUGAAAUCCCGAGCUUAACUUGGGAAUUGCGCUCGAAACUACGUGGCUCGAGUGUGGCAGAGGAAGGUGGAAUUCCACGUGUAGCGGUGAAAUGCGUAGAGAUGAUGGAGGAACACCGGGUGGCGAAGGCGGGUCUCUGGGCCGUAACUGACGCUGGAGGAGCGAAAGCAUGGGGAGCGAACAGG